rnacentral:rRNA from 1 species
UCGAGAAUCUUCCGCAAUGCACGAAAGUGUGACGGAGCGACGCCGCGUGGUUGAUGAAGCCCUUCGGGGUGUAAAAACCUUUUAUGAGUGAAGAAGUAUAUUGACAUUAGCUCAUGAAUAAGGGGCUCCUAAUCUCGUGCCAGCAGGAGCGGUAAUACGAGAGCCCCAAGCAUUAUCCGGAUUUAUUGGGCGUAAAGGGUGCGUAGGUGGUUUUAUUAGUCGUGUUUCAAAGACCCAUGCUUAACAUGGG